UGGGACUACAGGCACCCGCCACAACGCCAGCAAAUUUUUUGUAUUUUUAGUAGAGACAGGGUUUCACUGUGUUAGCUAGGCUGGUCUCAAUCUCCUGACCUCGUGAUCUGCCUGCCUCGGCCUCCCAGAGUGCUGGGAUUACAGGUAUGAGCCGCUGCGCCCAGACCCGUGAAUAUUCUUAAUUCAAGGCAAUGUGUUUGUUUGCAUACAGGCAAGCAGGGUCACUAGGACCGCUCAGGGAGAGAGAAUCUAGAAACCUGGCACACAGGCAAAAGGGUCAGAUUUCCUUCCAACAGACUGAAGGUGGGUGUCGCCCUAUGUUCCUGGGAAGAAAAGUUCCAGUGCCACAAAUCCAUCUGCAAGUCCUGCUGUGUCACUUCGAGGACUGUAAGUAAAAGAACUGGAGAGACAGAGCAAGAUGCCUGGACUUGGAGAACCAAAAUAGAUCUGGAUAUGCAAGGCAAUUUUCCUCUGGACGGAACAUCCCUUCCUGCAUGACCCAAAGAUGAUCUUGCCAGUGACUUAUACAAGCAUGAAAUUCUAUUUAUUCUGCAUUUAUUUCUCUAUUACUUGAUUCCAUGGAGAAACAAGAGUGUCAACCAAUUACAGAAGAAGCUGACUCUAAAAGUGCUUUUCCCAGUCAACAAUCAGAUUUUCAGGGUCACUGCUUCAACUGCAAAUACAUAUGUGCUAUCUCAGAGAGAAACCCUGAGCUGGGCUCUCACAUAGAAUAGAUCCUGACAAUAUCAUAAUUCUAACAGUGCUACAAUUUUCAGAAUUUCUUGAUCACUGUAGUAAGAGCAAUGUCUUAUCAAUCUGUAAAUCAACAGCCAAAAAAAGGGUUUCUCCUCAACUGAAUGUUAAACAAAUCUUAAUGUUAAACAAAUCUUAAGCUAAUGAAGCUUAAGAUUUUCAUUAAACACAUUGUCACUCACCAAAAUGAAUUCAGUUCCUCCCAAGAUCUCAGCAGCUAAUGUCCACAGCAGGGAAGAACAAUUCACCAAUUCAUAAAGUAAGAAUCAGUUGACACUUACAAUGGAAAGGGAAAAUGUGUGUUAGUUUAUAUAAGAAUCUAUAAGUUAACUUCACAUAAGACCAACCUUAUACAGAGUGUUCACCCUUAGAUAAACAUUCCUUUUGUCUCAGGGCAUUGUGGUUCUAUGACUAUUCCACCCAGUGCCAUUAGCACCACCAAAACAAGAUGUUUUGCAAAGUACACUUUUGUAGUAGAUUGUGAAAUCAUCUGCCCAACAUAAUAACCUUUCCCUUUUAUUCCUGUAAUCAAAUCCUCUUUCUUAUGGAAAAUCCGUUUCAUGAGGAUUAAGUGAAACCAACACACACUCCUCACUUCUUAGACCACUCAAGUUGGCACGUGACCAGUCCUACCCCAUCUUGUCUAUUUUCCACAGCAAUUUAAAAAUAUUCCUUAAAUGGGUGAACUCUUUCCUUCUGAAAAGUCUAAACAUUGUUAUUUCUUAAAAGCAGUAUUUUCUACAUUGUCUUCGAGAAUGUCCUGUUAAAAAAUUAAAUGCUUACUUUCAGUUUUGCUGUGAACCUAAAACCACCCCAAAAAAUAAAGUCUAUUAAAUUGUUUUUUAAUGAAAAUGCAAACACCCUUGAGAGAAGACAUUAAUAACUGAAUGAAG
rnacentral:lncRNA from 10 species